rnacentral:rRNA from 1 species
AGAGUUUGAUCCUGGCUCAGAACGAACGCUGGCGGCGUGCCUAACACAUGCAAGUCGAACGGAGUGAAGGAGCUUGCUCUUUCAUUUAGUGGCGCACGGGUGAGUAACGCGUAGAUAAUCUGCCUUGGACUCUGGGAUAACAUCUCGAAAGGGGUGCUAAUACCGGAUAAGCCCACGAUGGCGUAAGUCAUUGCGGGAAAAGGGGGCCUCUGAAUAUGCUCCUGAUUCAAGAUGAGUCUGCGUACCAUUAGCUAGUUGGUAGGGUAAGAGCCUACCAAGGCGACGAUGGUUAGCUGGUCUGAGAGGAUGAUCAGCCACACUGGAACUGAGACACGGUCCAGACUCCUACGGGAGGCAGCAGUGGGGAAUUUUGCGCAAUGGGGGAAACCCUGACGCAGCAACGCCGCGUGAGUGAUGAAGGCUUUCGGG